AUUCAUCUAGCUCUCUUUGCUUUUUAUACUCUGUUGCCAAACUUUGUAAUAACCAUUUUCUCUCACUAGAACUACAAGAUCACUGGACCGUAGACCGCAGUGCUGAAAUGAAGCAACUGCAGCUGUGAAAUGUGUCAUUUGAAGACUACAGGCUACUAACUGCAGUAAUUUUCUUGUCAAGACGAGACGACCUCAAACUUGAUAUGACACACACGUCUAAGAGAGGAUGAAGACAGAGGUGUCAGAGGAUGUCUGUCUUACUCUGCUCCCGUCUCGGCUGGCAGAUGGAGACCCUAGGUGAGUGGAUCACUGGCCAGAGUCCCGUCUGGACUGAAGGGGUCCCAGGACAUCCUCUACUUACUCAGGUAGUCUUCAACCCACCCCCACU